GACGAACGCUGGCGGCGUGCUUAACACAUGCAAGUCGAACGGAAAGGCCCUGCUUUUGUGGGGUGCUCGAGUGGCGAACGGGUGAGUAACACGUGAGUAACCUGCCCUUGACUUUGGGAUAACUUCAGGAAACUGGGGCUAAUACCGGAUAGGAGCUCCUGCUGCAUGGUGGGGGUUGGAAAGUUUCGGCGGUUGGGGAUGGACUCGCGGCUUAUCAGCUUGUUGGUGGGGUAGUGGCUUACCAAGGCUUUGACGGGUAGCCGGCCUGAGAGGGUGACCGGCCACAUUGGGACUGAGAUGCGGCCCGGACUCCUACGGGAGGCAGCAGUGGAGAAUAUUGCACAAUGGGCGGAAGCCUGAUGCAGCAACGCCGCGUGCGGGAUGACGGCCUUCGGGUUGUAACCCGCUUUCGCCUGUGACGAAGCGUGAGUGACGGUAAUGUGUAAAGAAGCACCGGCUAACUACGUG
rnacentral:rRNA from 1 species